UACAGAGGGUGCAAGCGUUGUUCGGAAUUACUGGGCGUAAAGGGCGCGUAGGCGGUUCGUCAAGUCCUGUGUGAAAUCCCCCGGCUCAACUGGGGAACUGCACAGGAAACUAGCGGGCUUGAGUUCGGGAGAGGGAAGCGGAAUUCCGGGUGUAGCGGUGAAAUGCGUAGAUAUCCGGAGGAACACCGGUGGCGAAGGCGGCUUCCUGGACCGACACUGACGCUGAGGCGCGAAAGCUAGGGGAGCAAACGGG
rnacentral:rRNA from 1 species